AACCAGCCAAUGGAUGAACUGAUCCAGAUGCAAACUGGUUGAAAACUUGGUGGGAGGAGUCGGAGUUCUGCGCACGCGCAUAGACUGCACAUUUGAUUUAAUUGCCAACCGCCACCGAUUCGUCUGAGGUUGUGUCUGAACAUCCCCUUUAUCAGAGUGUUGUGGUGCACUUGCUUUGCAUGCCGUGCUUUUCCUGUACCACUGUAGGUCUUUUUUUUCUGUGAGACCCAGCUGAAGAUAUCAAGAGCUCAGAUGUUGGCCUACAGUUCAUUACACUGACUUCUUUGAUGUUCCCUGAAAGACUGACUACUACCAUUUCAUUAAGCUAAACCGAGAACCUGUGACAGUUUGUGGAGUUUGAAUUUAAAGUCACACAUGUCUAUCAAUAAAUUAAAUGUUUUGUCAUGAGCUGCUGUUUUCUAUUUGUCUUUCACAACAUCACUUUUACCUUUUCAAAGUCUUGCAGUUUGUGUUUACAUUGUGUUAGCAUAU